GAUGAACGCUGGCGGCGUGCUUAACACAUGCAAGUCGAACGGGAAUUAUUUUAUUGAAACUUCGGUCGAUUUAAUUUAAUUCUAGUGGCGGACGGGUGAGUAACGCGUGGGUAACCUGCCUUAUACAGGGGGAUAACAGUCAGAAAUGGCUGCUAAUACCGCAUAAGCGCACAGAGCUGCAUGGCUCAGUGUGAAAAACUCCGGUGGUAUAAGAUGGACCCGCGUUGGAUUAGCUGGUUGGUGGGGUAACGGCCCACCAAGGCGACGAUCCAUAGCCGGCCUGAGAGGGUGAACGGCCACAUUGGGACUGAGACACGGCACAGACUCCUACGGGAGGCAGCAGUGGGGAAUAUUGCACAAUGGGGGAAACCCUGAUGCAGCGACGCCGCGUGAAGGAAGAAGUAUCUCGGUAUGUAAACUUCUAUCAGCAGGGAAGAUAGUGACGGUACCUGACUAAGAAGCCCCGGCUAACUACGUG
rnacentral:rRNA from 1 species